GAUGAACGCUGGCGGUAUGCUUUACACAUGCAAGUCGUACGGGAGUUUUUAACUCAAGUGGCGGACGGGUGAGUAACACGUAAGAAUUUGCCUUUAGGAGGGGGAUAACAACUGGAAACGGUUGCUAAUACCCCAUAUGCUUUCGAGUGAAACGGAUUUUUCCGCCUAAAGAGAAGCUUGCGGCUGAUUAGCUUGUUGGUAGGGUAAUGGCCUACCAAGGCGACGAUCAGUAUCUGGUUUGAGAGGACGAUCAGACACACUGGAACUGAGACACGGUCCAGACUCCUACGGGAGGCAGCAGUGGGGAAUUUUCCGCAAUGGGCGAAAGCCUGACGGAGCAAUACCGCGUGAGGGAUGACGGCCUAUGGGUUGUAAACCUCUUUUUUCAGGGAGGAAUCAAUGACGUGUACCUGAAGAAUAAGCAUCGGCUAACUCCGUGCCAGCAGCCGCGGUAAGACGGAGGAUGCAAGUGUUAUCCGGAAUCACUGGGCGUAAAGCGUCUGUAGGUGGUUUAAUAAGUCAACUGUUAAAUCUUGAGGCUCAACCUCGAAAUCGCAGUCGAAACUAUUAGACUAGAGUAUAGUAGGGGUAAAGGGAAUUUCCAGUGGAGCGGUGAAAUGCGUAGAUAUUGGAAAGAACACCGAUGGCGAAGGCACUUUACUGGGCUAUUACUAACAC
rnacentral:rRNA from 1 species